GGACUAGCCUCGCCUCAGGCCUACAGGAAGCCAGGGCAGGCAUCCGAGGUGACAUUUCCUGCUAUUAAUGGAGGUUAAUCUAAACAGUCCCUAAUAUUUACCUCUAGACGCCUCCGGCUGCUCUAGGGUGCCAGACAGGAAGAAUGAUGAGCCCUGUACAGCCAAAGUCCCUCCCUGCACCCCUGUCAGUCCCUCCCUGCACCCCUGUCAGUCUCUCCCUGCACUCCUGCCUCCACUGAGCCUUCUAGGGCUAAGGCCAGCCAGGCUGUUUGAGAGACAAAAGCUGGAUACCAGAGGACUAAGCAGAACCUUCCUAGACACGGUGUUCCCAUCAAUGAACUGAAGUGGGUACCCUCACCUUUAAGGGCAAAGAGAAUGGAUUCUAGGAACUUAGUAGGACCACAGAUGGGCCAGUGCUCCCUCUACCUGUAGGUCACACUUUAAAGAUCUGGUGAGAUACUGUGAGGCAUCUAGCUGCUCAUCUAUCUCUUCAUUCCCUCCCUUGGGUGUUCCACAGUGAGAGGAGAGGGAGGGGCACACAGGUCCCUUCAGGCUGGGUACUCCCCCACCCCACAGCCCCCACCUGCCAGCUGGGCGCUCAGCCAGGCACAGAGAAAAUAAACAGUGUUAAUUUAGGGCCAGGGCUUCCAGCGAAGGAUGCUGUUUACAUCGGAUAUAAAUACACAUUUCACGUCAUUGGCGUUUUGAAAAUUUUGGGGAGGGAAGAGAGACUGGUCACCAAGUCCUCAUAGCCUGGGAACCAUGGGCCCAAGCAAAGCCCUCCCGGACAAACCCUUAGCCAAAAUAUCACCGGAAUAGGGUGACGUUCUGACCUCCCAAGACCAGGGAGACCUGUUAAGAUGCCUUGCCAUGAACACUCUCCAUCUCCAAAGAGAGGAAAAGGGAGUGGGUAUGAGGAAGCCAAGGCCCUAUAGCCUCAAGAGAGGUUGUCUGAGUUCUCAGAGGUGGGAAGAUGGUCCCAAGCCUGGCUCUUGGACCCCUGAGAUGGCAGCCAGUCCUCGUGGCUUGAAUGGUGACAAGCUCCUGCCUAGGUCCUCAAAAUCCUUCACUAAAGGCUCUUAAGGCCAGGAAGCUUCCAAGGCCCUGGGGAACACAGGUUGAUGGUGUUGCUUUAGACUUAGGGAUAGGAUGGGAGGGGAAUCUAUUCCUUCACUUUAGGGAUCCCUUUCUUCUAGAAAGGAUUGUACCAGACUAAUUGCAAGCUCCUUAGCACCAAGCCUAGUCAUUCACUCUUUAGUGUGAAUUAGAAUGUUAACAACAGGGAGCCAGGAUACUGAGCUUUGAUGGGGAUGGGAGAGGGCAGAGAUAACAGACUGGUUGGUGUGGCACGGAACAGUGGGGUUAGGGUAGGAGACUGGGGCAUGCCGGAAAAAGAAGGUUUGAGUGGUAGUCAUGGGAAGCCAAAGGGGCUGGUGUAGCUCUCUGUGAUCACUGGCUCCCAGAGGGGCGAGCUCCGACUGAUCUUUAAGCAAGCCAUUGUCCUGCUUCAGCCUUCCUUUCCAUUGCCCGCAGUCCCCACCUCUCUGAGAUCUAAGUGGAUCUCAUAGUACAGAAGGGGAUCAUGGUCAGAGGGGCAUCACCCCUCAAAUCAUAAAGACACAGGCCUGGGGUGCCCAGGAGAGUCAUGAGUAGCCUAUGGGAUCUUGAGAGAGUCCUUAGGGUGGAGGAGGGUCUCUGGCCUAACAUGACCUAGUGUUUGGGGAGGGACCUCAGUAUGAGGCACAACAGAAGCCUCUAGUGAGGGUUUACUGGUGGUUAGAGGGGCAAAAGAAUGCCAUGAUUUUGCUACCUGCUUCUCAGGUAUACAGACAGGAAUACAGAAUACAGAAUAUAGAAUAUAGAGCCCCAGACAGGGUCCUGCACCACUGACUUCAUAUGUUUUUUUGAUAUCUGAACUGCAGGUCAUCCCAGCCAGGAAAUGGAGACCUAAUUGGGAUAAGGAGGGUGGGAGACUGGGACAAGGACGGGGACAGGGACAGGGACAGGCCAGGGACAGGAACGGGGACAGGGACAGGGUCUGACAACAUGACCAAUCAGCCUGGAGUAACAAAAUGUACUCCUCACCCAUGUCCUCUACAAAGCCUUCCUUCUAAACCUCAGGCCCUGGUCCACGUUUUGUUCAGUUGUGUUGGGCUAGAAGUUGGAUCCAGGGCACAUGCAUGUUGGGCUAGAAGUUUAGCAGUGACCUAUAAUCCCAUGCCCAGACUCCUUGCUGAAAAGUAGAGCCCUGACUAUCUUUCUUGCUCUCACACAGCCCCCCCCUGAACUUGGAUAUGGGUGCCCCGCCUGGAACCAGUGGAAACUGUGUAUCCUGCCCCUGUCCUAACUACCCCCUGUCCCCAGCUGCUCAAGUCCCAGGUCCCUGGAACAUAGGAGACGUCUCACUAGAUCAGUGUACCUUCUGGGCCC
rnacentral:lncRNA from 1 species